AGAGAGGGGGAGGGAGCUUUGCAACCAGCAAGACAGAAAAAAGGAGGAGGGGUUUCAUUAGGAGUGAGAGAGCUUUAACUGGCGUGGUGAGAAAAAGCAAGAGAGAGAGGCUGAGUGCGUCUGCGAUAGACACAUAGGGAGAGGAGGAAGAUGCUGUUGCCAGGGAACAGCGCUGAGGAAGAAACGUCCGUGUUUUCCAGUUCGCAGAGGAAGGAUGAUAACAAUCACGGCUGCAAAAUAGACCGAAUGUGAGGACGAGAAAAACAGCUUAUCCUUCCCUCAGAUCCCCAGCCAGAGAAAAUCAAAAAGGCAGCUUUGAGGAAGAGGAAGAAGAAAGAAGAGCUUCUGACAGCAAAACAGAGGAACAGCCAAAAGGAAGUCUUCCUAAUUGGAAUACUAUAUUGAGCUGCAGCCCGUCCUCCCGGCAGAGGAUGGGUACAGCAGAGGCCACUUUACGCAUGGACAGCAUGGAAGUAAAGGACGAGUGGCAGGAUGAGGAUUUCCCCAGGCCUCUACCAGAGGAUGGGGAUGUGGAUUCAAUAUGUCGCCUCACUGACAACAGAACCAACCCCCCCACCUCUCUUAAAGUGGGAGAGACGAUGGUUCAGUGUAAGCGCCGCACCCUGGUCGCACCAGACAUGAACUUGUCCCUGGAUCAAAGUGAGGGCUCGGUGCUGUCUGAUGACUUUUUAGAAACGCCUGAUGAUCUGGACAUCAACGUGGAUGACAUCGAGACCCCCGAUGAGACAGACUCGCUGGAGUUCAUCAACAAUGGCAAUGAGCUGGAGUGGGAAGAUGACACUCCAGUGGCCACUGCCAAGCGUCUUCCAGGUGAAAGUGAGGAGGAGAGAGACUCGUCUGGUCGUCUAUGGCGAACGGUGAUCAUUGGUGAUCAGGAGCAAAGGAUCGACAUGCAGGUCAUCAGGCCGUACCUGAGGGUGGUCACGCACGGAGGGUAUUACGGUGAGGGUCUGAAUGCCAUCAUAGUGUUUGCAGCCUGUUACCUUCCAGACAGCAGCUGUGAGGACUACACGUAUAUCAUGGAGAACCUCUUUCUGUAUGUUGUAAGCAGCCUGGAGCUGCUGGUGGCAGAAGAUUACAUGAUCAUCUACCUGAAUGGAGCCACUCCCCGCAGGAAGAUGCCAGGCAUCAGCUGGCUCAAGAGGUGCUACCAGAUGAUCGAUAGGAAACUGAGAAAGAAUCUAAAAUGUCUGGUCAUUGCUCACCCAACGUGGUUUAUCAGGACUGUCCUGGCCAUCUCCAGACCUUUCAUCAGUGUGAAGUUCCUGGAUAAGAUCCGUUACGUGCAGACGCUGGAGGAACUGAGCCAGAUAAUCCCGAUGGAGCAUGUGCAGAUCCCAGAGUGUGUGCUGCAGUAUGAUGAUGAGAAGAUAAAAGCCCAAAGGGAAAGACUGGAACAGGAGCAGCACACCAACUCAACACUGCCUAAAGAAAGGUGACCUCAUUUUGCGGCCAAAGUCCAUGAUAGCUGACGUCAGCCGUGACAUCUGACAUUAAGAGCUUUAAACUGAAGACCCACCAGGGAUCACCAUCCAUUCAUUAAAACGGGAGCCAGCCAAGAUCAUCAUUACAUGCUCACUGUACCGUAUUUAAUCUCAUGACUGGAUUCAUUAGAUGCAGGACAAUCAUUACUCCAAACAUUUUUUUUUUUUCAAUGACAUGCUUGCUUAGAACAGGUCAAAUUAUGUAUGUACCAAAGCAUAAAUCAGUUUCUUUGCUCCAUGCAUGUCAAAUUAAGCUUUAGCUAUUGCAUGACUUUAACUAUUUAAAUAAAAAA